rnacentral:rRNA from 1 species
CCCGGGCCUUGUACACACCGCCCGUCACGCCAUGGGAGCCGGGAGUGCCCGAAGUCCGUAGGCUAACCGCAAGGAGGGCGAUUACCACGGCAGGGUUCGUGACUGGGGUG